rnacentral:rRNA from 1 species
GACGAACGCUGGCGGCGUGCCUAACACAUGCAAGUCGAGCGGUCCAGCACUCAAGCUUGCUUGAGUGGUGGGUAGCGGCGAACGGGUGAGUAACGCGUGGGUGACCUGCCCGGGAGACUGGGAUAACAGUUCGAAAGGGCUGCUAAUACCGGAUGAUCCCCAGCACUCAACCGAAGGAAUUAGGCUUGGUUUUAGAAGAAGCCUUUCUGUAGGUUUAAUGAGGUUUUUUUCUAGGGUACAGCCUGGUUUUUUGGGUUGAGUGCUGGGGCAAAGCGUUUAGCGCUCCUGGAUGGGCCCGCGUCCCAUUAGCUAGUUGGUGGGGUAAUGGCCUACCAAGGCGGCGAUGGGGUAGCCGGUCUGAGAGGAUGGGUCGGCCACACUGGGACUGAGACACGGCCCAGACUCCUACGGGAGGCAGCAGUGGGGAAUUUUGCGCAAUGGGGGCAACCUGACGCAGCGACGCCGCGUGGGUGAUGAAGGCCUUCGGGUUGUAAACGCCCGUGGUUGGGGGGAAGGAAGUAAGUAGACGGUACCCCUACC